CUGUUUUUAAUUAAAAACGGGAGAAAUGAAAGACUGGACGCCACCGACGCUUUUGUGUAGAAGGUGGUGGAAUUUUCACAAAGAAAACAGUGUAAUUUAAUGGAGUACACGUCUCGGUGUAAUCAAAAAGACGACUGAUUCACGUGAACACAGCACUCGGUACGUAAAAAAGAAGAGUUUGGAUACAGCGGAGCCAUGCAAACUAAACGGACUACAUUUCCCAGAGUGCAGCGCGGCGCGUGUGUGUCACGUGAUGUUUGUGUGCGUGAGAGCGAGCGCUGCGGUCGCCGCUGACAGUCAGUCACACUCUCACUGCUCACACACACAUACGCACACACACACAGUCAGCGCGAGCGUGUGUUCGGUCGAGUCUCUCGCCUCAGCAGCAGGUGUGUGUGUGUGUGUGUGUGUGUUUGUACAGCCUGACACGAGCAGAUCGACCGGUGAGUCUGUGGAUCGGUGUCUCAGUGUGUGUGUGGAUGUUAACGGCUCCGGAUCAUCUGCGCCUCGAUCCGGUGGAUGUGUUACUGUAUGUGACUUCUGGAGUAACUGAACGUGUGGAAUAAACUCGCUUUCAAGAUGAAGGAUUCACAGAAGAAGCAGAAACUCCUCAGCAGACACAAAUGAUGCUGUGCGGGUCCACCCUGACUUCGCGUCGCACUUCCUGCCUGAAGAAAGGAGAAGCCCCGAUGUGCUUGUCACCCGAGCUGCGUGUUGGAGGCCGAACGUCUUCACUCGGUCCCUCUUCAGGCCGCUCUGUUUCAGACUGAUGUCGAGCCGGUUGGAUAUAAUCUCGAGCGGCGGACUCAGGAGAUGGGGAGGCGUAGGGAAACUCUACGGCAGGCUUCGCAGGGAAGGAUCGUCUUUCUCCAGAAGUAGGAAACGAGCGUCGGAGGGUUCCUGCCGCCAGUCGGCUCUCUCCUCCUGUUUCGACACGGGACCAAAUGCAAACCAUGUGUCCUCGCACCCGCUUAGCUGCUUUUGCCCACCUCUAGCAUUAGCGCUCUGGACGGAUCCAUUUCACUCUGCCGCGUUCUCAUUCUCCAAGCCCCAAAUGAGCCUCUCGGUGGGACUCCUGGCUUAAUAGGCUGGAACUUUCCCAUGUCCGGCCUCCGAAGGUGGCUGUUAUCCUCCGAGGGCCCCCGUGCGAGUCUCGAGCUCGGGCUCAUGUUAUGGGGUGGAUGCCAGGAUGUCAGCUGUGAUGCUUCACACGGAUUGUCAUGGUAGCUGCGGAUGGUUGUGACAGCUGAAUUCUCCACAUCACGGACCGGUCAGAGAUGCACAUUUCAUAAGUGGAUUUAAAACAUCGCAGUGGAUUUCAGUUUUGGGACUACUGUACAUGUCACAGCGUCUGCUGCUUUUGUUUACUGUGCUUUGACUGCAGAUACUGGAUUACUGGGACUGUUUUCUGCUUUACGUCAUUUGUUUUCUACUGAUUGGUCAGUACAGUGUUCCAGUCAUGCCAGAAUAUACAGUACACACAGCUAUGAUGCUGAAACUAGUCCACUGCGCCCACCCUUUUUUUGACUAAAGUUUAUUAACCAGAGACCAGAUGUUCUUGCUCUCUAGCUGUGCUUUAAUAUGGCAGAAAUAAAUGCUGUGCUAUAUUGUGAGCAAAGUAUAUUACGUCUAUAUAUCUAACACAGUCGCCUGUACCCUAUUGCUCCCUUCUGAUAUAUAAAUAUUUUUUUACAUACAUGGGUGUAUAAUUGAUAUAAUAUUAUUUUUAAGAUGUCCUGACUUUUUGCUUGAAUAAACUAAAGUGGAUCGAAGCCAAA